CCUACGUGCGGCAGCAGUGGGGAAUAUUGCGCAAUGGGCGAAAGCCUGACGCAGCGACGCCGCGUGAGGGAUGAAGGUCUUCGGAUCGUAAACCUCUGUCAGCAGGGAAGAACGGUCACUGUGCUAAUCAGCAGUGAAUUGACGGUACCUGCAAAGGAAGCACCGGCUAACUCCGUGCCAGCAGCCGCGGUAAUACGGAGGGUGCGAGCGUUAAUCGGAAUUACUGGGCGUAAAGCGCUCGUAGGCGGUAUGUCAAGUCAAGGGUGAAAUCCCCGCGCUCAACGUGGGAACUGCCUUUGAAACUGGCAAACUGGAGUGUGUGAGAGGAUAGUGGAAUUCCAGGUGUAGGAGUGAAAUCCGUAGAGAUCUGGAGGAACAUCAGUGGCGAAGGCGACUAUCUGGCACAUAACUGACGCUGAGGAGCGAAAGCGUGGGUAGCAAACAGGAUUAGAUACCCCAGUAGUC
rnacentral:rRNA from 1 species